rnacentral:rRNA from 1 species
GGUCAAGCGAAUAAGCGCACACGGUGGAUGCCUUGGCGGUCAGAGGCGAUGAAGGACGUGGCAGCCUGCGAAAAGUAUCGGGGAGCUGGCAACAAGCUUUGAUCCGGUAAUGUCCGAAUGGGGAAACCCACCCGCUUGCGGGUAUCCUGCAGUGAAUACAUAGCUGCUGGAAGCGAACCUGGUGAACUGAAAUAUCUAAGUAACCAGAGGAAAAGAAAUCAACCGAGAUUCCGUAAGUAGCGACGAGCGAACGCGGACUAGCCCUUAAGCUGAUUUGGUUCUAGGAAAACGCUCUGGAAAGAGCGGCCAUAGAAGGUGAUAGCCCUGUAUCUGAAAGGGCCAUUUCAGUGAAGACGAGUAGGGCGGGGACGUGAAACCCUGUCUGAACAUGGGGGGACCAUCCUCCAAGGCUAAAUACUACUGACCGACCGAUAGUGAACCAGUACCGUGAGGGAAAGGCGAAAAGAACCCCGGAGGGGAGUGAAAUAGAACCUGAAACCGUGUGCGUACAAGCAGUAGGAGCUCCGCAAGGAGUGACUGCGUACCUUUUGUAUAAUGGGUCAGCGACUUACUGUUCGUGGCAAGCUUAACCGUAUAGGGGAGGCGAAGGGAAACCGAGUCUGAUAAGGGCGCAUAGUCGCGGGCAGUAGACCCGAAACCGGGUGAUCUAGUCAUGCCCAGGGUGAAGGUGCGGUAACACGCACUGGAGGCCCGAACCCACUCCCGUUGCAAAGGUAGGGGAUGAGGUGUGAUUAGGAGUGAAAAGCUAAUCGAACCCGGAGAUAGCUGGUUCUCCUCGAAAGCUAUUUAGGUAGCGCCUCAUAUGUAUCCUCUCGGGGGUAGAGCACUGUUAUGGCUAGGGGGUCAUCGCGACUUACCAAACCAUUGCAAACUCCGAAUACCGAGACGGACUGUAUGGGAGACACACGGCGGGUGCUAACGUCCGUCGUGAAAAGGGAAACAACCCAGACCCACAGCUAAGGUCCCAAAUUUUGUGCUAAGUGGAAAACCAUGUGGAAAGGCACAGACAGCCAGGAGGUUGGCUUAGAAGCAGCCACCCUUUAAAGAAAGCGUAAUAGCUCACUGGUCGAGUCGGUCUGCGGGGAAGAUUAAACGGGGCUAAGCACAGAACCGAAGCUUGGGGUGCAUACUUCGUAUGCGCGGUAGAGGAGCGUUCCGUAAGCCGUUGAAGGUGGAUUGAGAAGUCUGCUGGAGGUAUCGGAAGUGCGAAUGCUGACAUGAGUAACGAUAAUGCGGGUGAAAAACCCGCACGCCGAAAGCCCAAGGUUUCCUUGCGCAACGUUAAUCGGCGCAGGGUGAGUCGGCCCCUAAGGCGAGGACGAAAGUCGUAGUCGAUGGGAAGCAGGUUAAUAUUCCUGCACCUCGCGUAAGUGCGAUGGAGGGACGGAGAAGGUUAGGUGUACCAGGCGUUGGUUGUCCUGGGGAAAGGCGGUAGGUUUGGAUCUUUGGCAAAUCCGGGAUCCUCUAAGACCGAGCACCGAGACGAGCCUUUAUGGCAAAGUCACUGAUACCACGCUUCCAGGAAAAGCUCCUAAGCUUCAGCUUACGCAGACCGUACCGUAAACCGACACAGGUGGGUAGGAUGAGAAUUCUCAGGCGCUUGAGGAACUCGGGUGAAGGAACUAGGCAACAUGGCACCGUAACUUCGGGAGAAGGUGCACCUUUUUGGUGGCUCGUGCGAGCUAUAGCUGAAGAGGGUCGCAGUAACCAGGCCGCUGCGACUGUUUAUCAAAAACACAGCACUCUGCAAACACGAAAGUGGACGUAUAGGGUGUGACGCCUGCCCGGUGCUGGAAGGUUAAUUGAUGGGGUCAGCCGCAAGGCGAAGCUCUUGAUCGAAGCCCCAGUAAACGGCGGCCGUAACUAUAACGGUCCUAAGGUAGCGAAAUUCCUUGUCGGGUAAGUUCCGACCUGCACGAAUGGCGUAACGACAGCGGCGCUGUCUCCACCCGAGACUCAGUGAAAUUGAAAUCGCUGUGAAGAUGCAGCGUUCCCGUGGCAAGACGGAAAGACCCCGUGAACCUUUACUAUAGCUUUACACUGAACGUUGAGUUCGUCUGUGUAGGAUAGGUGGGAGGCUAUGAAACCAUGGCGCUAGCUGUGGCGGAGCCAUCCUUGAAAUACCACCCUGUCGUGCUUGACGUUCUAACCUGGAAAUUUCAUUAUCUGGGUCGGGGACCGUGUAUGGUGGGUAGUUUGACUGGGGCGGUCUCCUCCUAAAGAGUAACGGAGGAGCUCGAAGGUACGCUCAGCGCGGUCGGACAUCGCGCACUGUGUGCAAAGGCAUAAGCGUGCUUGACUGCAAGAUCGACGGAUCAAGCAGGUAGGAAACUAGGACUUAGUGAUCCGGUGGUUCUGUAUGGAAGGGCCAUCGCUCAACGGAUAAAAGGUACUCCGGGGAUAACAGGCUGAUACCGCCCAAGAGUUCAUAUCGACGGCGGUGUUUGGCACCUCGAUGUCGGCUCAUCACAUCCUGGGGCUGUAGUCGGUCCCAAGGGUAUGGCUGUUCGCCAUUUAAAGUGGUACGCGAGCUGGGUUCAGAACGUCGUGAGACAGUUCGGUCCCUAUCUGCCAUGGGCGUUGGAGAUUUGAGAGGGGCUGCUCCUAGUACGAGAGGACCGGAGUGGACGAACCUCUGGUGUUCCGGUUGUCACGCCAGUGGCAUUGCCGGGUAGCUAUGUUCGGAAGCGAUAACCGCUGAAAGCAUCUAAGCGGGAAGCGCGCCUCAAGAUGAGAUCUCCCGCAAGACAAGCCCCUGAAGGAACCAUGUAGACUACGUGGUUGAUAGGUCAGGUGUGUAAGUACAGCAAUGUAUUGAGCUAACUGAUACUAAUGAUCCGUGCGGCUUGACCAU